rnacentral:rRNA from 1 species
GACAGAGGUGCCGAGCGUUAGGCGGAAUCACUGGGCUUAAAGCGUGCGUAGGCGGGUCGUUAAGUGUCUUGUGAAAUCCCACCGCUCACCGGUGGAACGGCUGGGCAUACUGGCGACCUCGAGAGGCCUAGGGGCAGACGGAACAAGCGGUGGAGCGGUGAAAUGCGUAGAUAUCGCUUGGAACGCCGACGGCGAAAGCAGUCUGCUGGGGGCCUUCUGACGCUGAGACACGAAAGCCAGGGGAGCGAACAGG